ACACCGAAUGUACUAGCCCUAUUGCUUAUAGUAUCUGAGAUAUGGACUUGACCACCAAAACUUAACCUUGUUCACUGAUCCAUGAAAUGAGGUCAAGUGAAAACUGUCUGACAGACAUGAGGACCUUGCAAGGUACGCACAUAUCAAAUAUAGUUAUCCUAUUACUUAUAAUAAGAGAGAAUAUCAACAUUACAAAAAAUUUGAACUUUUUUUCAAGUGGUCACUGAACCAUGAAAAUGAGGUCAAGGACAUUGGACAUGUAACUGACGGAAACUUCGUAACAUGAAGCAUCUAUAUACAAAGUAUGAAGCAUCCA
rnacentral:lncRNA from 1 species